GCCAGUGUGGCAUAGUGGUUUGAGUGUUGGACUAGGAUUUUGGAGACUCGGGUUAGAUUCCCAGCUCAGCCA